GGCGGAUGGAGCCAAGUGGAUCAAGGCAGU
rnacentral:tRNA from 1 species